CAGAGGAGUUAAUAGUUGCUAAUCAGACUCCUUGGGAUGUCCCUUCAGUCGAAUAGAACAGUUCAUAGACUUUCCCAGAGGGUCCGUGCUAUACGGGAUCUUUAGGAUGUCCAUACCUCUAUCAAGUAUAAACGUAAAUUGGUUAUGUUUAGUGUUAGUUUAGGGUAAGGACGCCCCAAGGAAUCCGGAAUGCAGUGACCGUUCAUAGAGUGAGAGACUGGCACGGUAUUUGAGAGCUCGGCGGUGACACGACAUUUAUUUGUUUUUUACAAGCGGCAGUAGUGAGUGUCUGCCCCAGAUCUUUUCUCGAAUAAGGAAACUAAUUACCAAGAUGUCCUUGAUCCAAUUGAGGAUCAAGAUGGGAUGAGACAGAGUAACCAAUCAGCUUCACUGCAGAUGUUCAACCCACCACCCCCACUGCCCUCCCUCCAUAAGUAACCACAUCCUCUUCUCCUGUUCAACCUCUUUGCCACCACACAAAAAAUGACUGUACAUAUGCCCCUGUGCCAUCUCAGUGUAACAUGAUCCAUCCAAGGCCUCAGCUGGAUGCCUAAAAUGUGAGAAAUGUAAGCAAGAUGCUAUUGUGUGUGUGUGUGUGUGUGUGUGUGUGUGUGUGUGCGCGCGUGCGUAUGUAUGGAGUUCCAAGUAAAGACUUGAUAAGAUGGCAAAGGAGAUGGUGAUGAGAGUGAGAGCAUACAGUAUGAAAAUAAAGACCCAUUGGCAUCUAAAAUGAGUGUGGGGUGCCUUUCGUGUCUCCUUUUUGUCCGUUUGAGGAUACUACAGUCACCCCUGGUGGAGGUUCUUGGAACACUGCGAUUUAAGUCUGAGCAGAGGUUGAUGAAAACCUUCAAAAGGUGGUGGUGCUGCUAUGUUGCGUGUUAUCUUGAAUAGCUGGCAGAUGUUUGAGUGCAGAAUGAAAUGGUAUAAACUUAAUAGGCUAAGCUAGUUGAGUACACUCUUUGAGAAAGGGGUUCCACAGGGUUCUUUGGCUGUCACCAAAGGAGAGAACUUUUUAGAAUCCUAUUAGAUUGUAGAUGGCACAUUUUUAUCUGAGUGUAGGCCUAUAUUGCAGUCGUGGUUCUGUGGAUAUCUGUGAAGGAAAAAAAAUGGUGUUGGUGAGUUAAUCAGAAAUACUAUGAAACAUUCCCACUUUUUAGCACACAUUUGCAAGCAGGCAAAGUAACCUAUGAGGCAUGUGUGAUCACUCAACAUUGGCCUGAUGACCAACAACGACGAGACGGCCUACAGGGAGGAGGUGAGGGCCCUCGGAGUAUGGUGUCAGGAAAAUAACCUCUCACUCAAUGUCAACAAAACAAAGGAGAUGAUUGUGGACUUCAGGAAACAGCAGAGGGAGCACGCCCCCAUCCACAUCGACGGGACAGUAGUGGAGAAGGUGGAAAGUUUUAAGUUCCUCGGCGUACACAUCAUGGACAAACUGAAGGCAAACUACCUGCCCUCCAGGACAUCUACAGCACUCGAUGUCAAAGGAAGGCCAAAAAGAUCAAAGACAACAACCACCUGAGUCACUGCCUGUUCACACCGCUACCAUUCAGAAGGCGAGGUCAGAACAGGUGCAUCAAAGCUGGGACCGAGACACUGAAAAACAGCUUCUAUCUCAAGGCCAUCAAACUGUUAAAUAGCCAUCACUAACACAGACAGGCUGCUGCCAAUGUAGCAGUGUGAUGUUGUUCCCCUAGAUUAUGCACCAAGUUGCACACAAGGACCAAUUAAAAUAGGCCAGGUCAAGAGGGGAUGUUAAUAAUUUGAUAAUAAUAAUAAUAAUAAUAAUAAUAAUAAU
rnacentral:lncRNA from 1 species